rnacentral:rRNA from 1 species
AGUUUGAUCCUGGCUCAGGACGAACGCUCUUUGGCGUGCCUAAUACAUGCAAGUCGAACGGAUUUGCCUAGAUGAUUUUAGUGCUUGCACUAAAUGAAACUAGAUACAAGCGAGCGGCGGACGGGUGAGUAACACGUGGGUAACCUGCCCAAGAGACUGGGAUAACACCUGGAAACAGAUGCUAAUACCGGAUAACAACACUAGACGCAUGUCUAGAGUUUGAAAGAUGGUUCUGCUAUCACUCUUGGAUGGACCUGCGGUGCAUUAGCUAGUUGGUAAGGUAACGGCUUACCAAGGCAAUGAUGCAUAGCCGAGUUGAGAGACUGAUCGGCCACAUUGGGACUGAGACACGGCCCAAACUCCUACGGGAGGCAGCAGUAGGGAAUCUUCCACAAUGGACGAAAGUCUGAUGGAGCAACGCCGCGUGAGUGAAGAAGGGUUUCGGCUCGUAAAGCUCUGUUGGUAGUGAAGAAAGAUAGAGGUAGUAACUGGCCUUUAUUUGACGGUAAUUACUUAGAAAGUCACGGCUAACUACGUGCCAGCAGCCGCGGUAAUACGUAGGUGGCAAGCGUUGUCCGGAUUUAUUGGGCGUAAAGCGAGUGCAGGCGGUUCAAUAAGUCUGAUGUGAAAGCCUUCGGCUCAACCGGAGAAUUGCAUCAGAAACUGUUGAACUUGAGUGCAGAAGAGGAGAGUGGAACUCCAUGUGUAGCGGUGGAAUGCGUAGAUAUAUGGAAGAACACCAGUGGCGAAGGCGGCUCUCUGGUCUGCAACUGACGCUGAGGCUCGAAAGCAUGGGUAGCGAACAGGAUUAGAUACCCUGGUAGUCCAUGCCGUAAACGAUGA